UUCAAUAUGUGUGCUUUGUCUAACAGA
rnacentral:piRNA from 1 species